rnacentral:rRNA from 1 species
UGGGGGAUAUUGCACAAUGGGCGAAAGCCUGAUGCAGCGACGCCGCGUGGGGGAUGAAGGCCUUCGGGUUGUAAACUUCUUUUGCUCUGAACAAGGCAUGCUAAUGGGUGUGUUGAGUGUAGGGGUUGAUUAGCGCCGGCUAACUACGUGCCAGCAGCCGCGGUAAUACGUAGGGCGCGAGCGUUGUCCGGAAUUAUUGGGCGUAAAGGGCUGGUAGGUGGCUGGGUGCGUCUGUCGUGAAAGCUCAUGGCUUAACUGUGGGUUUGCGGUGGGUACGGGCUGGCUUGAGUGCAGUAGGGGAGGCUGGAAUUCCUGGUGUAGCGGUGGAAUGCGCAGAUAUCAGGAGGAAUACCGGUGGCGAAGGCGGGUCUCUGGGCUGUUACUGACACUGAGGAGCGAAAGCAUGGGGAGCGAACAGG